rnacentral:rRNA from 1 species
GGGAUUGCCUCAGUAACGGCGAGUGAAGCGGCAACAGCUCAAAUUUGAAAUCUGGCCUCUGCGAGGUCCGAGUUGUAAUUUGUAGAGAGUGUUUCGGGGGAGAUCGCGGUCUAAGUCCAUUGGAACAUGGCGUCUGAGAGGGUGAGAGCCCCGUAUGUGACCGUGGAUCGAGCCCAUGUGAAGCCUCUUCGACGAGUCGAGUUGUUUGGGAAUGCAGCUCAAAAUGGGUGGUAAAUUUCAUCUAAAGCUAAAUACUGGCUGGAGACCGAUAGCGCACAAGUAGAGUGAUCGAAAGAUGAAAAGCACUUUGGAAAGAGAGUUAAACAGUACGUGAAAUUGUUGAAAGGGAAGCGCUUGCAAUCAGACCUGCCCGUAGGCGAUCAGCCGCUGUUCUCAGCGGUGCACUCGCCCUACGAUCAGGCCAGCAUCGGUUUCGGCGGUCGGAUAAAGGCCUUGGGAAUGUAUCUCUUCCUUCGGGAGGAGUCUUAUAGCCCUCGGUGCAAUGCGGCCAGCCGGGACCGAGGACCGCGCUUCGGCUAGGAUGCUGGCGCAAUGAUUGUAAGCGACCCGUCUUGAAACACGGACCAAGGAGUCUACCAUCUAUGCAAGUGUUUGGGUGUUAAACCCAUGCGCGGAAUGAAAGUGAACGGAGGUGAGAACCCUUAAGGGCGCAUCAUCGACCGAUCCAGAUGUCUUCGGAUGGAUUUGAGUAUGAGCAUAGCUGGUGGGACCCGGUAAGUCUUUAUUCUUGCACCGCUAUUAUGCGAAUUUGCUAACAGUUUUUUUAGAAAGAUGGUGAACUAUACUUGAAUAGGGUGAAGCCAGAGGAAACUCUGGUGGAGGCUCGCAGCGGUUCUGACGUGCAAAUCGAUCGUCAAAUUUGAGUAUAGGGUAUGUGUUCCGCCCGAACCAACCUGACGAGUCAAUGCUAACAUAUUCUCCCAGGGCGAAAGACUAAUC